GACGGAGGGUGCUAGCGUUGUUCGGAAUCACUGGGCGUAAAGGGCGCGUAGGCGGCCUUGCAAGUCGGUUGGUGAAAGCCCGGGCUCAACCCCGGAGGUGCGGCCGAGACUGCAGGGCUGGAGGCCGGAAGAGGAGGGUGGAAUACCCAGUGUAGAGGUGAAAUUCGUAGAUAUUGGGUGGAACACCGGUGGCGAAAGCGGCUCUCUGGUCCGGACCUGACGCUGAGGCGCGAAGCGUGG
rnacentral:rRNA from 1 species